rnacentral:rRNA from 1 species
AUUGAACGCUGGCGGCAGGCCUAACACAUGCAAGUCGAGCGGAUGAAGGGAGCUUGCUCCUGGAUUCAGCGGCGGACGGGUGAGUAAUGCCUAGGAAUCUGCCUGGUAGUGGGGGAUAACGUCCGGAAACGGGCGCUAAUACCGCAUACGUCCUGAGGGAGAAAGUGGGGGAUCUUCGGACCUCACGCUAUCAGAUGAGCCUAGGUCGGAUUAGCUAGUUGGUGAGGUAAAGGCCUACCAAGGCGACGAUCCGUAACUGGUCUGAGAGGAUGAUCAGUCACACGGGAACUGAGAAACGGUCCAGACUCGUAGGGGAGGCAGCCGUAGGGAGUCUUGCGAAAUGGGCGAAGGCCUGACGGAGCAACGCCGCGGGAGUGAUGAAGGUCUUCGGAUCUUAAAACUCUGUUAUUAUGGAAGAAAAUAUGUGUAAGUAACUGUUCACAUCAUGAGGGAACCUAAUCAGAGGGGCACGACUGGCAACGAG